rnacentral:misc_RNA from 1 species
AAAGUCGUAACAAGGUUUCCGUAGGUGAACCUGCGGAAGGAUCAUUACAAAUCCAUCCACGUCUCAACUCUUGAGACCACGUUGAACUGUUCCCUGGUGUGCAUAUAUGGUGGUGUGCCUUGCGGCACGCAUAUAUAUAUGCAUAUUAGGCUUGUUAAACUAGUCCUACAUCUGUUGCUCAACUGUAUCUUUCUUGAUUGUAAUGAUCAAGGCAAACAAAGUACAACUUAUAACAAUGGAUCUCUAGGCUCUU